GGUGGAUGUAGUUCAGUCGGUUAGAACGCUGGAUUGUGGUUCCAGAGGUCGUGGGUUCGAGUCCCAUCUUCCACCC
rnacentral:tRNA from 1 species